rnacentral:rRNA from 1 species
UAAUUUAUAUUUUAAUUAAGAUUAUGAAAUUUAUUAUUUAGUUAUGAUUGGGGUGAUUUUUAAAGAAUAUUAAUCUUUAAAAUUUUUUAAUAAAAAAGUUCCAUUAGUAGUGAUUUUUUGAUAAAAAUACUCUAGGGAUAACAGCGUUAUUAUUUUGGAUAGUUCAUAUAGAUAAAAUAGUUUGCGACCUCGAUGUUGGAUUAGGAUUCUUUUAUGAUGAAGAAGUUAUAAGGGAGAAGUUUGCUCAACUUUUAAAGUCCUACUUGAUCUGAGUUCAGACCGGG